UUUGUGAAAACCCGCAUAAUCAAAAACCAUUGCUGAAGCGUAUCCCCAAAUAGGAUAGUGAGCACUGUUUGUCCACCACGAAAAGCGAAGAGAUAUCUUCCAGUAAACGCUGUAGUCGCAGGUGUUUGUCAAACUAUAAUGAAAGUAUCUCCGAGCAGAACGAUGUUGAAGUCCACAUUGCACGACGACAAAUGCAAAACAGCGCCCCUCGCAGCCUGGAAGAAUACAAAUAUGACCAGUCACAAAAAGAAAUGUGCAAGAUGGCUGGCAAGUGAUGAUA